rnacentral:rRNA from 1 species
UACGUAGGGUGCGAGCGUUAAUCGGAAUUACUGGGCGGAAAGCGUGAGCAGGCGGUUUUGUAAGCCAGAUGUGAAAGCCCCGGGCUUAACCUGGGAAUGGCAUUUGGGACUGCAAGGCUUGAGUGCGGCAGAGGAGACUGGAAUUCCUGGUGUAGCAGUGAAAUGCGUAGAUAUCAGGAGGAAUACCGAUGGCGAAGGCAGGUCUCUGGGCUGACACUGACGCUCAUGCACGAAAGCGUGGGGAGCAAACAGG